AGAGACUGCACGGAGGCUGUGGACGCUCCUGAAAGUACCAGACUCGGCCUGCCGACGGCGUGAAGCUCACACUGACCGCCGAGACCCGCUGCUUUGAUCCCUGACCCUCGGCCAAAUGGUCCGGCUGCAGCACGGCCGCUCGCUGUUUUACAGCCACAGUUUGGACCACUCACUUCCUCCUCGCCGCCUGGACCGACCCUUUAAUUCAUCAACACCCACAAGCACAUGCAAUCAGGAUCUGAUGUGAAGAGAGGGAAUCACGGUUUGCAGAGACGAGAGCUCCUGUUUCACGGCAGUUUCCAAACCCUCCCUCCAGGCG